CUCUCUUCAUUCAGUCAGCUCCAAGUAACUUAACGGAUCUCAUGGUUGUUAUUAUGUGCCGGGGCUGCCUUUUCACUUGUUGCUAUCGCUUUCCAGUCAGGAACGGACAAACGUUACGGUCAUUUUGUUGGGUUUACCUGAAUUAAAAACCAAAAAUGAUUUCGGAGGAAAGAAGCAGCCACGUAAAUAAACAAGCCCUAAACUUCCCGGUGGGUUUACUCAUCCGCUCUCCAAAGAAGCGACUGGCCAAACUGGGGAGGAAACCCAGCAAUGGAUCUCUGCAGUCCAACCACUCAGACACCACCGUCCGCUCCACAGAAAGCGUGGGUGUUCGACAGCCGGCCAAGAGCAAAAUCCGCCGCCACAACAACAACAGGCUUUCAUCUGUUUUCAACCAAAGCCCCUGCAGUGGCCGCCGCAGCCAGGGCAGCGGGAGCCUGCAGUCUGCAGACGACCCUGCAGAGCUGUCCAGUCAAAUGUCUGUCCCCGGCAUCCUGAAAGUUUUCGGCAGCGACAUCUGUCAGGGGACCCACUACAAGAGUGUGCUGGCCACCAUACAGUCCAGUGCAAAGGAGCUGGUGAAGGAGGCCUUAGAGAGGUACUGCCUGGAGAAAGAAGACCCCAACGACUACGUGCUUUGCGAUGUGAUUGGACAGACUGGCACAGACAACCAGUGGAAGAGGGAGUGUUUCCGGGUGGUAGGCGACAACGAGAAGCCGCUGUUGCUGCAGUCGCUUUGGAAACCCAAGGAAGGCUUCUCCAGGCGUUUUGAAAUCCAGCUGAGAGCGAGUGUAGAAGAGCAAAGUUUAAAGGAGAGAGACACGGUCACCGCAGGCAUCAAUGCUCAGGCCCGUAAGCUGCAGAAGAGCCGCUGCAGAGUGACCUCUCUGUUUGUUGAUGGCAGCGGGGACGAUGUGGACGGACUCGGGAUCUGGAGGAGUCUCAGCGAGAUGGAUCUGUCCACGAUGGGGAAGGAGGCCAGCCGGGCCCGGCAGUGCACGCUCAGAGAGGAUCCUGAGGCCGAGGCCGACAAGGAGGUACUGAGGCUCGGCAUGGAGAAGGAGGAGACGGAGAGUAGCGAUGACAACACCACCCAGUACUCCAUUCACCCGCCCUUUGACUUCCCGUACUUCCUUCUGCUGCAGGGCUACAGCCACAGACAGGAUUUCGUCAUCUACCUGAUGAGUGGCACCACCACCAUCUUCGGCUGCUGCAGGGCGCACUGUAACGGAGAGGACGAGGAGAGGCUAAAGGUGGACAUCCUUCUCUUUGCCCCUGAUGUGUUUCCUCAGCACUGCUGCGUCAGACGCCUGGACUCUAACACAGGGGAGCACAGACAGACUUCCACCAUGCUGAAGCCUCUCCACGGGGCUCCUGUCACCAGAAAUGGAUUCCUACUUAAAGAGGAGGUUGAACUACACCCGGGGGACUUGGUGGGCUUUGGGAAACAUUACCUGUUCAUGUUUAAGGAUCCUACCAGCACAUCAGGGUCGCUGCAGACCCCUCCGUGGAUGAGCAAACUCUGCCCAAACUCUCACACAAAGACAUCCUCUUGUUUAUCGUGCGGCUCGAAUCUGGCCAUCAAAAGGCUGCAGAGGAGUUGUUUACCUCCUCGAUGGAGGGACCUGGAGGGCACAGAGGCUAUAUUGGUCUAUGAACUGGAGCAGGAGGAGAGAAUGCUGCAGGAGGUGUUGGAUAUGUUGGACCCCAGCGGAAAUGAACCAAAGCUGACGCCUGCUUUCCUGCUGAGCCUCUCCAUCCAGCACUCAGCCUCCACCUUUGAGCUGACGCACUUCAGACACCUGCUGCUCCGCAUAGCCGGGCAGAUCCAGCUGGUUAUGUGGGACAAGACAAAGGAACUUGCAGCGAUCCAGCCAGAAUCUGACGGGCAACCCGAAGACCUUCAGCUGCUCAGCAUGGAGGAGCUGAUCCCAGGUCUUCAGCCGCUGGUGCUGUGGAUGGCAAACUCCAUCGAGCUGCUGCACUUCAUCCAGCACGAAGUCCCUCAGCUGCUGGCCUGGAGGCAGGAUCAUGAGGAGGAAGGUCUGUUCGUCUCUGAGAUUUCCUCCACUCGGACAGCCUGUGAGGAGGCCAUGACGGUGCUGGAGGAAGUAAUCAUGUUCACCUUCCAGCAGUCUGUCUACUAUCUAACAAAGAGCAUGUAUGCAGCUUUGCCCGGGCUGCUGGAUGGGAACCCGUUCUCAGAGAGCGGCCAGCUGCGAGUGCCUGAUGGACUGGGCGGCAUCCUGGAGGUGCUUAAGGAGGCGCUGAAGCUUCUCACAGCCUUCCAGGUCCAUCCAGACAUCUCGUUACAACUCUGUGCCUACCUGUUCUUUUUCAUCAACGCAUCGCUGUUCAACGCCCUCAUGGAGAGAGGAUCUGUCGCUGGGUUCUACCAGUGGUCCCGAGGGGUUCAGAUCCGGGCCAACCUGGACCUUCUGAUGGAUUGGGUUCAGGGAAUCGGAUUGGGCGAUCUGACAAAUGAAUUCUUCCAGAAGCUUUCUGCAGCUGUCAAUCUGCUGGCCACGCCCAAAGAAACCCUUCUGCAGGCGUCCUGGGCUUCUCUCCGGGCAGAGUUUGCUGCCCUGAAUGCUGCUCAGCUUCACCACAUGCUAAGGGAGUACAACUAUGGUAAAGCCAGUCCUGCAGGAUGGACCCCGUCUCUGAGCGAUGCAGAGCACGCUGUCAGGACCGCCGACAUCCUGGAGAGCUUCGACAGCCACCCGCCGCUCAUCCUGCCGAGCAGCGCGUUUCAUCUGGAGCUCGGUAAACCUGUGGUGGAGCCGGCUCUGUUCGAGCAGCUCGGCCAUUUGCAGGAGUUCAUACGCCGACUUCCCCUCAGUGAAACCCAAGCCGAGCCCGAUGUGGAGGCACAGGCAACCCCAGACAGCCAGUCUGCGGCCUCGCCCUACGUCACAGUAUGCCAGGACCCUGCCCACCAGGAGGUCUCUGACCCGGUUACCACCUCGGACCGCACCUCCCCUGCAGAGCCGUCUCAGGCCCGAGGAUCUCACGGUGACCUGAGCAGCUGUGAAGCGGUCCUGACCCAGAAGCUGAAGAGCCUUGAGCUGCUGAACACCUUUCAGGGAGGACAAGCGGACAUGGGCUACCACAAGAGCCUGGCACUGGACCCGUCCUGCCUUCUGACCCCGCCAAACACCCCGCAGGGCAUGGAGCUGUCCGAGCUGGAGGCAGAUCUGCGGGAGGGCGCGUUCCAGCAAAAGAAAGCAAAUAGAUGUGCUGAGAGGAAGGUGGAGAAUGAAGAAGAAGAAGAAAAAGAAGAAGGAGGAGGAGGAGAAGAAGAAGGAGGAGAAGAAGAGGAAGCAGAAGAAGAGGAAGGAGAAAGAGAGGAAGUGUUUGCGGUGGAGCUUCACAGAGGACCUCACGGUCUGGGUCUGGCGCUCGUGGACGGGACGGUACGAUGGCGUCCUGCUCCUCUUCUCUCCUUCAGAAUAAAACACAGCUGAGAAUGAGCGGCAUUUAUGUGAAGUCUGUGGUGCCGGACUCUCCCGCUGCCCGGUGUCGGAAACUGAGGACGGGCGAUCGCAUCCUGGCUGUUAACGGCACCAGCGUGGUGGGGAUGGAGUACAACAUUGGUAGAGAACUGAUCCGAUCAUCAGGAGAAUCUCUCAGACUGCUGGUGGCCAAAAUCGACUCAAAGACGAGCGACCAUGGCUCGAUCACGACUAAAUGCUGAGGGGAGAGCUUUGUGCGGACGAUCAAGUGCAAUUGAAAAUUCUCGGAGGACGUUUGGUUCAUCCUUCCUGCAGCUUCCAAAGCCAGUAAUUAUUUCAGAAAGGACAAACUCACGUCUCAUUCCAGACGGAUUGUGUGUUAUAGAGCGCUGAGACAAUCAGAACGAGGCCACGGUCACGUUUAUAAAAAGCUCAUUCUGCUGUCACAGCUUCUGUCUGGCCUAUAAACAGCUCUCAUAAACCGCCAGGGUUUCUGUGGGGAGGAAAGGAGCUGCCUGUGGCUGUUUGCUAACAUCUCAUUUCAGUGUUCACAGUUUUUCUGUCUGGGGAGAUUCAUCAAGCUGCUCCAGGAUCCAAAUCCCUCUCUGGCCACAACUGGAAUCAUUCUGAAAUGACUCUUUUUAAAAACUGUGAAACAGUUUAUUUUACUCUGGAAAACUCCUAUUAAUUCAUUUGUUGAGUCAUAAAAUCAUAUUUAUUCACAGGGGGACAUCAAAUAUAUUUGCUGUCUUUCCAGAACAUUCCCAAAAAAGGGAAAACGACACUAAGAUAAAGCAGAUUCAUCUCAAUUUAGGCAAAUUGUUUUCUUGUUUUGAGUAAAAAUAAGAUAUAGGACUAUCUUUGUGUUUUAGCAGUUUGUUCGAUUUAAUGUGAUCUUAAGAUGAUCACACAGAUUCUCCUGCUGUGAAAUCUCCACUUUUACAUCGCUUGAGAGACAUAAAGUUCUCUAAGUUCAGCAGAUAAAUAUCCAGGUUAAAGGGUCAUUGGAUAUUUUUCAACCUGAGCCCUAUUCUCCUAUGUUACGUUCCCCAUUUUAAAGGCGGGGUAUUCAUCUACACACACUAAUAUGUUGUUAUAUUGAAAUAAAGCUGUCAAUUAAUUGAGAAUUUCUCAGUUGACAUGGAAAGCAUCACGUCUAAUAAUGUUGACCACUGCAGAACGACAAACUGCUGCAGCCCUCAUCUCAAGUCUGUCCAUGAGAUCAGCCCAAAUGUUGUCAGUGAAUGUUUGAUGACGCACAGUAUUAUUCACAGUAUUUUGUAAUAUUUAUAUGUCGCAGUAUUUUUGAAAAUAUUGAAUAAAUAUUAUUUUGAUUUUGAAAACCUUUAA